rnacentral:lncRNA from 1 species
GGGUCAAAACUCUAAUUUGGCAUUUAAAUUAGAAAGAUCAUAUCAUAGGGCACAUGUAUACUAAGUUUCAAGUUGAUUGGACUUCAACUUCAUCAAAAACUACCUUGACCAAAAACUUUAACCUGAAGCCAAAAACUUUAACCUGAAAUUUGCACUAUCAUUUUCUAUAUUCAGUGAACCGUAAAAUUGGGGUCAAAACUCUAAUUUGGCAUUUAAAUUAGAAAGAUCAUAUCAUAGGGCACAUGUAUACUAAGUUUCAAGUUGAUUGGACUUCAACUUCAUCAUAAACUACCUCGACCAAAAACUUUAACCUGACAUGGGACAGACGGACGAACGGACGAACGAACAGACGAACGAACAGACGGACGAACGGACGCACAGACCAGAAAACAUAAUGCCCCUACUACUAUCGUAGACGGGGC